CUGCAACUAGUUAACCUCCUGACUUGUCCACCUCCCUGAUGGGGGCUUAGUGUGCAGUGUCUGCAAAAUGGAGAUUCCCUGGUUGUGUAUACACAUCGUUUCUUGAAUGUGUUGCUUUAAUGGUUCUUGAAGACAUUA
rnacentral:snoRNA from 2 species